rnacentral:rRNA from 1 species
GAUGAACGCUGGCGGCGUGCCUAAUACAUGCAAGUCGAGCGAACAGACGAGGAGCUUGCUCCUCUGACGUUAGCGGCGGACGGGUGAGUAACACGUGGAUAACCUACCUAUAAGACUGGGAUAACUUCGGGAAACCGGAGCUAAUACCGGAUAACAUGUUGAACCGCAUGGUUCAACAGUGAAAGACGGUCUUGCUGUCACUUAUAGAUGGAUCCGCGCCGCAUUAGCUAGUUGGUAAGGUAACGGCUUACCAAGGCAACGAUGCGUAGCCGACCUGAGAGGGUGAUCGGCCACACUGGAACUGAGACACGGUCCAGACUCCUAUGGGAGGCAGCAGUAGGGAAUCUUCCGCAAUGGGCGAAAGCCUGACGGAGCAACGCCGCGUGAGUGAUGAAGGUCUUCGGAUCGUAAAACUCUGUUAUUAGGGAAGAACAAAUGUGUAAGUAACUAUGCACGUCUUGACGGUACCUAAUCAGAAAGCCACGGCUAACUACGUG